AGGCGCAAACACUUCCCCGGCGGUGCGGGGAGAGGGGGAGCCGGAAUGAGGCGGGGCGGGACUAGAGGAGGCGAAGAAGAGUGGUGGGAUAGUAGAAUUACGGAGCGCUAUCGAGGACAAGUUUGGUCAUUUGACUCUCGGAGGAGUUUCCUGGUGCGAACGUAAGGGAGAGAGAGGUUCAAGGAGGCAAAGUUUGAUUGGACUAAUACCGAAGAAUUGAAGUUUUAAGAAACUGAAAGAAGCAACAAAAGAAUAUGGCUGGUGAAGAAGGUAGAGGUUGCUUAGGAAUAAUACUAGACCGAAAGUCUCGUGGGGGACUUUCCAGAAUCAGUUUCGGGUGUUGGACCUGAAAAACAACUAGAAUGGAGAGCAAUCAAAACUUUUCCCAUAUGAUUCUUCUGGAAAGCCCUCUAUUGUGGAUGCAAUUGUGCGUCUGACCUCCGAUUUUUGUUGAAAUUGUGAAUCUGCCAGGAUGUGCAUAUGGUUCCGCUCUGGCUGGCCCGUAGCCAGGGGAGCAAAGGUGCAAAACAAGCCUGGAUUCUUGCUUUACAAGAGGAGCCUCAUCAGUGUUCACGCCCACGCAAUGAUCUGCUACCAACCCAACUACUUGAGAUGUCUAGGCUCCUUUUUAUUCAGCCUUUGCCCAUUUGAUUUGUCUUUUCUUUUUUUCUUUACUUUUGUUUGAUUACUUUACUUUGAUUUGUCUUUUCUUUUGUUAUUGUUAAGUAAAUUCUCUUUCAAAUUAUGCA